GAUCUGCUAUGCUGGAGUUUUGUGAGUGAGCCCAGGAUACAGAAGGAAUGGUAAACAACACACCAAAAAGGGCAACUAUAAUCAAGUGACAGGGCAGCUGACUCAUGACGAGAGACUACAGAGAAUGACUCUUCAGAGAAAAUGUUUGGUCAAGAUUCACAUUUAUCAUGAACUCCAGUCUAAAAGGAUAGCUGAAAGCAGGGUGAUGUGAGCUGAGGACAAAGGACAGGCAGAACACCCAUGUGCCAAAGAAGGGAUCCAAGGUCACAUGCUUAAAAGCUGCUGACCAAAGUUCCUUUGCAGUCAGAAAAGGACUUGAAAUUAA